UAUCCCCCAAACCAAGGGGGGAUGAGAACCACCGACCGGGGUUCGACAACUGGCGCAGCCAGUUGGACAGACCGGGCGCGCAGCGAACGGACUGCCCGAAGGGCGAGCGCAGCGAGUCAAUCCCCCCCUCACCGCCA
rnacentral:sRNA from 1 species